rnacentral:rRNA from 1 species
UCAGGGUAGCAAUAUCUUGAAGUCGGAGUGGCGCAAGGGUGCGUAACACGUGGGUAAUUUGCCGUGAAGUUGGGGAUAACUCGCUGAAAGGCGAGCUAAUACCGAAUGUGAUGAUUGGGAGGCAUCUUCUGAUCUUCAAAGUUGGGGACCGCAAGGCCUGACGCUUCACGAUAAGCCCGCGGCCUAUCAGCUAGUUGGUGAGGUAACGGCUCACCAAGGCUAAGACGGGUAGCUGGUCUGAGAGGACGACCAGUCACACUGGAACUGAGACACGGUCCAGACACCUACGGGUGGCAGCAGUCGAGAAUUUUUCUCAAUGGGCGAAAGCCUGAAGGAGCGACGCCGCGUGGGGGAUGAAGGGCUUCGGCCCGUAAACCCCUGUCAUUUGCGAACAAACCUUACGGUCUAACACAUCGUGAGCUGAUUGUAGCGAAAGAGGAAGGGACGGCUAACUCUGUGCCAGCAGCCGCGGUAAUACAGAGGUCCCGAGCGUUGUUCGGAUUCACUGGGCGUAAAGGGUGCGUAGGUGGCAGGGUAAGUUUGAUGUGAAAUCUCCGGGCUUAACCCGGAAACUGCAUUGAAUACUAUCUUGCUCGAGGGUUGGAGGGGGGACUGGAAUUCUCGGUGUAGCA